GGAAUAUUGGUCAAUGGGCGCAAGCCUGAACCAGCGACGCCGCGUGGGGGAUGAAGGGGCUUUGCCUCGUAAACCUCUGUCGGAUGGGACGAAAGGUGGCUUUGAGCCACUGGGACGGUACCAUCAAAGGAAGGAUCGGCUAACUACGUGCCAGCAGCCGCGGUAAUACGUAGGAUCCGAGCGUUGUCCGGAGUUACUGGGUGUAAAGGGUGCGUAGGCUGUUCUGUGCGUCAGAGGUGAAAUCCACGAGCUUAACUCGUGGGGUGCCUUUGAUACGGCAGGGCUUGAGUACGAGAGAGGUGCGUGGAAUUCCUGGUGUAGCAGUGAAAUGCGUAGAUAUCAGGAGGAACACCGGUGGCGAAGGCGGCGCACUGGCUCGUAACUGACGCUGAGGCACGAAAGCGUGGGGAUCAAACAGGAUUAGAUACCCUGGUAGUCCACGCUGUAAACGAUGAUUACUCGUUUUCGGCGAUAUACUGUCGGAGACUAAGCGAAAGUGAUAAGUAAUCCACCUGGGGAGUACGAUCGCAAGGUUGAAACUCAAAUGAAUUGACGG
rnacentral:rRNA from 1 species